AUUGAACGCUGGCGGAAUGCUUUACACAUGCAAGUCGAGCGGCAGCGCGGGGCAACCUGGCGGCGAGCGGCGAACGGGUGAGUAAUGCAUCGGAACAUGUCCAUGGAUGGGGGAUAGCCCGGCGAAAGCCGGAUUAAUACCGCAUGAGCCCGAGAGGGGAAAGUGGGGGACCGCAAGGCCUCACGUCGAGGGGUUGGCCGAUGCCCGAUUAGCUAGUUGGUGAGGUAAUGGCUCACCAAGGCGAUGAUCGGUAGCUGGUCAGAGAGGAUGAUCAGCCACACUGGGACUGAGACACGGCCCAGACUCCUACGGGAGGCAGCAGUGGGGAAUUUUGGACAAUGGGGGCAACCCUGAUCCAGCCAUUCCGCGUGAGUGAAGAAGGCCUUCGGGUUGUAAAGCUCUUUUGUCCGGAGCGAAACGGGGCGCGUGAAUAUCGCGCUCUACUGACGGUACCGGAAGAAUAAGCACCGGCUAACUACGUGCCAGCCGCCGCCGUAA
rnacentral:rRNA from 1 species